GGGACCGUAGACAAGGUAGAGAGAGCAGGAUGGAAAGGGAAGGCUGUGGUGGGGAAGGGAGAUGGGGGUAGAACGCAGCCAGCAAGAACAACCGUUUUGGAGGAAACAAUAGCAGGGGCAAUAGCGAUGGUGGCAGCUGAGGCAGUCCCACUCUGGGCACCUUUCUGAAUGGGCAGAGGCAUCUCAGGGAGAAGAGGAGACCAGGCAGCGCCCGCCAAGGCUCUGAGAAAAGCAGCGGAGGGAGGGGAAGGAGGAGGAGGAGGAGGAGAAAGGGGAGGAGGAGGGGGGACGAGGCAGGGGGAGAACCCGGGAAGGAAAACCAGUAGCAUCAGCAUCAGCAUCAGCAGCCGCCACCGCCACACCAGUAGCAGUAGCAGUAGCGGCAGUAGCAGCAUUUAGCAAUAGCUUUAACGACUACAGCGACAGUAGCAGCCGCCCUCCUUCUCUCUCCCUCCCGCGGACCGCCGCAGCCACCGCACUGAGAGGGCUCCAGCGCCGCACGCGCAGCCGGCUGCUGAGAUAGUCCCGGCCGGAGCGAGCGGUGGUACACCCGAAACACAGACCCCGGGAGCAGCCCAUAGUCACUGAGGCGCUGAGUUUCAGGGCCAGAGCCUGACAGCUCUGACUCCAUCUAGCACCGCGGCGGCGGCGGCGGCGGUGGCGCCUGAGGGACACAGGCGCGUUCACCUGGCGGGCCUGGCGCAUGGAGCUGAGGCAGAGGCGGCGGCGGCGGCGGCAGCAGUAGCAGCGGCGGCGGCGACGGCGGCGGCUAGAGCAGCUGCGGCGACAGCGACAGCCCUGCCUUGACUGCGACCGCGCUAGUUCCAGCGCCCGCUGCCUGAGCCCGCCAGCGACUUGCGCCUCUUCAGGCGGCCUGUGAGGGCCAGGAUUUUAUCUAAGGAAGUACAAAGGCCACCAGGCCUUUUCCAGGUUGGACAGCAUUUGGACUUGGAAUGAAAAAAUAAGAGGUUACAUUCAUGGAUAACCAACAAGAUAAGGCUGUUGUUGCCUCAGCCAAUGGAGAAAACACUCUGAUUAAUGGGGUCAAAGAAAAUGAUUCAGAGGACCAAGAUGUGGCAAUGAAGUCAUUUGCAGCUCUAGAAGCUGCUGCACCAAUCCAGCCUAUACCAGUGGUUCAAAAAGAGACCCUAAUGUAUCCCAGGGGUCUCCUGCCUCUGCCUUCUAAGAAACCCUGUAUGCAGAGCCCCCCAUCUCCUUUGGGCCUAAUUGAAGCACCUGAGCAUGCUGCUAAUAGUGCUUCUGUGAAUGCCAUCUCCCUUACAUCUGGUGUUACAAAAGGCCUGCAUACAUGGUCACUGCCCAGUGAAUGUGAGAAAGCUCCAUUUGCCAUAAUGGAGCCUGCAGGCAUGUCAGCUCUGAAUGGGGACUGCCUCAUGCAGCCAAGUCGGACUUGUUUGGGCUGCUUCAUGGAAUCAAAGGAUGCAGUGGAUCCUGAGCCAGGGAUCAGUCUGAAAGUUGGUGAUCUAAAUAAGGAUUAUGAAACCUGUGCAGUCUCUGAUAUAGGGAUUCAGUGUAUUAAUGCUGGAGAAAGCAUGAAAUAUGGAGAGCAGCUGCUUUCAGACCAGCUCCUAGGCUUCCCCCUGCACAAAUCAAGGGCAGGGGAAAAACGAGAAGCUGAGAAAUCUGACAUUGACUUGGAGGAUCCAGCUCAGAAAAGUUAUUAUGAGGCAUUACUGUUAGACAAGUGUAAUACAGAAGAGGCUUUGCUGGCAAAUUCCAAUCAAGAUUGGGGUUACUUUGAGACUUUCAUUAGUGAGAGUAAGAUUGAACUGCUUGACCUCUGUUCCAAAAAUGAGCUGUCCGUCAACUUAUUCUCGGAAGAAGAUGUGGAUAACUACAUGUUUGAUGAUGAUGAGUCAACACUGGGCAGUGAUGUCUGUUCCUUGAAAAUUCGAUAUGAGUCCUUCCAGGACAAUGUUCGAGACAAGACCACCCUUCUAAUGCAGGAGGAUGCCCAAUUCAACUUUUUUCCCAGUGUCUUUACUACUUGCCCCAAACGGGAGUCUAAGAGUGGGGUUUUGAAGCAGAACAGCGAUCUUUCCCAAUUCAAGGUUCCUGAUGUGAACAUCAUCUGGGGGGAGGAGGAUAAAAACUUGGACAAGAAGAAAGGCAAAGAAGAGGGACAGGAAGACAAGGGUGUAGAGAAAAAAGAUGAAAAGGAUAAUGGAGAAAAAUUUGCCUUAAAUAAACCAUGCAGUGGGACUGAAGUGGAGCAAUUUAAGAAUCCAAAGCAGGGUCAUCUUGCUAAUUCCUUGGAGGCAUCAGGGAAUUUCAGUGAUGACAGUUCCUUCAUUGAGGUCUCUUAUGAUGCCAUGGGGGAGAUCAAGGACUGUAGCCGCUAUAUGGCUCGGGACACUAAUUCUGGCAACUCCUCCUCCCAGCAGAACUAUGGUCUACGAGCCAAGAGAAAAGUCAGGUACAGUGAAGAUUAUCUAUAUGACGUUGACUCACUAGAGGGUGAAAAAGUAAAUGAGAGGAAGGAAUGGUUGCCAGGUGGUUCCAAAGAGGAAGAUGAUGAUGAAUGGUGUCCCAAAAAGAGAAGAAAAGUAACCCGUAAGGAGCCCCCUGUUAUUAUCAAAUAUAUCAUCAUCAAUCGCUUUAAAGGUGAGAAGAACAUGCUGGUGAAGUUGGGUAGGGUAGAUUCCAGUGAGACAACAGUGAAUUUGAGUGAAAAUCAGCUCAACAAAUAUGCCAAGCUUGCCCCCUUGAAGGGCUUCUGGCAAAAGAAGAAAAAACAGAGAAAUAGCAACAUUGACUCCAACAAGACACCCUUAUGCCAAAAACAAAACUUUGAACCAGGUAGCUUUGAGGUGUCAUUCCUGCCACCUGCUCGCAAACGAAAAUCUAAACUUGGCAACAGGCACAGGAUUCAAAGAAUCCCAUCUGUGGAAACUUCAGCAAGUGGUAAGCAAAUUUCAUUCUGCAGUGAUCAGAGGCAAGCUUGUACUCGUAAAGAAGAUGGAUCCAUGAAAGGUACACUAAAGUCAGCACCUCUGGCUGUCCCCAGCUGUGCAAAUGGAUCACAUCUAAAUGACAUUACAGGCCCUGACUCAGUGAAAGUCAAAGCCCAAGAUGCAGGAUUUAAGGGGCCAGAGAGGAAAGUGCUCAACAAAAUCAAAUUUAAAAGUGAAGCCAGGUUAAAAUCCAAGAAAAUCAAAGCUGGUCAAGAAAGCAAGUCAGUUGUUCAAAUGAGCCCUCUUUUGGAAGAUCAAUCAUCUACACCUAAUUUAAAGAAUGAAGCUAUUCCUGGGACUUCAAACAGUUCUCAUCUAUCUGAAUUUCAUGAGGCAAAGGUUGCCAAGAAUUCUACUUUCUUACCAACCACCUGCUCUUCUGAAAUGCCUCUAUCAUCUGCUAAUGUUGCCACCAGUAUACCCGUUAUCCCUGGAGGGUAUCUGCAGACAUUGUUAGAUGCUUCUGACUUGUCAAAUAAUACUGGUAUAUCAUACUUUGCUCACCAUUCUCCAGAGCAAAAUGAAAGCAGCCUCACUCAAACAGAAAAAUCAUUUGUGCCUCUUCAGCCUGCCCAGGACUGUGUGCUUUCCUCACCCUCUGAGUCUGAGCUACAGCAGUCAUCCCAAAACUUCAAAAUGGAAUCAAACAACUAUGGAAAUGUGUGGCCCAACAAACCUACUUCUGGCCCCCAGGAAUUCAUGGCUGAAGUCUCAAGGGAGAUAGCUCCAACACAAUCUAAUGAAUUUGGAGUCUCCCAAGUAGUCUCCAUGGAAAAUAACCUCACAUCUACAACAUACAAUCGAAUCUGCCUCAGUAGUGGUGGCAGUAAUUGCAACAAGGUCCUAUAUGCCUCUGUACAAGACACUCAGCUCCCAUCUGAUGACUCUUAUCAAUUAUGUCACUUUAAUAAUGGAGAGAUAUGCUUUCCUUUCCAGCAGGGCCCAGCCAAUAUGGAUGAUGAUCGGCUCUUUAGCUUUGAUUCAAUGGCCCAACUCUCUGUCAACUCAAGCAAUUAUUGUUCCUUAAGCUUGAAGUCCUGUGAAAAGGAUGGUGAUGAUGAUAUUACUGAUGACUUCCUGGCCCAUUGCAGCCCCAAGCUGGUUAUCCAGCAGAGCAUUGAUGAGAUAACACCAUUAAAGGAGUCCACUGACCUCCUGGAUAUCUCCAACUUCACUCCUGACAAAUUCCGCCACUCUUCUCUCUCAGAAGUGUCCCCACCUGACACCCCCAGCCUUUCCCCUCAAAUUACCAGAUGUGAGAGUAUUAAGACACUAGGAACACUGAAGGGGUUUCAAGAGGGUGUCCCAGGACCAUUGGGCAACAUGGAGAAAAUCAAGUGGGACUGCAGUACCCUUUCACGGCAGGUCCAAGUGGAUGAUGGAUUUACUUUAAAUAACCAUCAGUUUCAGUUCCAUAUGUUCAAUGAUGAGGAUUCUGUCAGUCUUCUCCAAAAAACCCCUUGCUUAUCAGCAUUUAAUGAUCCAUCUGGUCAAAUGAGUACUAACAACAAAGUGUCAAAAUCAAGAAAGAAAAGUUCACCCAGCAAGAGUGGGGCUCUGAACCAAAGCUCUUCUCAGAAAAACACCAGGAAAAAAUCUCUCAAAUCCAACAACAAAGGAAUUGAAAAGCCACCUGGAAAAACCUCCCGCCAGGCCCCUAAGUCAACAAAGAAAGGGAAAUACAUGGCUGCAAUCAAUGGGGAGAAAAUGCAAGUUGGCAUUGGCCGUGGAGGAGGCCAAAUCAACAACAUAUCCUCCACAGGAAAGACAUUGACCGAAUGUAUCCAACACGGUGGCCCUGUGGCCUCUAUGAAGAUGCCAACUCAAAAGGGACUUUCUGGAGAUUGGGCUCUGGGGAAGGAGAGUAACCCAGGAUGGAGCGACAUGAACAUGAGCACGAACACCAAUAGCCUCCUUGAUGAUGACCAACGGGAAUUUCAAGAGCCUUCCUAUAUCUUGUCUAACAUUGCCUCUGGUAUGGCAGAUGUGCAGAGGUUCAUGAUGGCCUCCAUAGAGCCCCUUUGGGAACCCAUGGAACACCAUGGAGACCCCAACAUAUUCUACUCCCCUGAGUCCAAUAGUCUAAAAUUAAAAACCCUUAAAAUAUUGGCUGGGACACCACAGGAAUCUAAGAAAAAGGUCAACAGUGGGUCCCCAGGAGGCACUAAGAAUCACAGGUCCAUCAAGGGUGUGAGUAAAAGCAAUGGGAAAGCAACAAUAGGUGAUCCUGGUCGUGCAAACAUGCAUGGUUAUGAGGACUCUCGCUCUGCCUUCUUUGAUAAAAAGUGUAAUAACCUGAGCACUUUAGGCAAUAAUGGACCGACACACAAAAAGUUAUAUCGUCACAAAUCCAGCUCCAAGGCCCUGAGAGAUGAGAAGUGUAAGGGAAAGUGCGUGGAGCGAGAACAGGUCCACAAGGAUGAGGCUGGGACAGCUUCUUUUGAAAAACUGAGGGAUUCCGACUACAAUCUCCUAAAAGCAGAAACAGCAUUUUGGGUUUUACCUGUGUUUGAAGAAGAAACUCACAUUUUCCAGAAAGACAUUUGA
rnacentral:lncRNA from 1 species